rnacentral:sRNA from 1 species
UAAAACUUAUGACUUGUUUAUUUCUGGAAUUUUCCAUGUAGUAUUUUUGAACCAGAGUUGACCAUGGAUAACUGAAAUUGCAGAAAGUGAAACGUGGCCAAUGGGGUGCUAGUCCCUCAGUCAUCCCGAAGCCCCUCACCAACUCUGCCCUGUAUUUCAGAUCACCGAAGUGGCCUUGGAGUACAACAACUGUCAUGGGGACCAGGUGGUGGAGCGUCUUCUUCAGCACCUGCGGCGGGUGGAUGCUCCAGUGCUGGAGUCCCUGGCCCUGGAAGCGCCGGCACAGCUGCCAGACCCACCGCUGAUCACAGCGUCCCCCUGCUGCAACACUGUGGUGCUGCCCCAGUGGCACUCCUUCUCCAGGACCCACAACGUCUGUGAACUCUGUGUCAACCAGACCGCCGGGGGCAUGAAGCCAAGCUCGGUCAGCAUGCCACAGUGCAGCUUUUUUGAAAUGGCAGCAGCUCUGGAUUCUUUCUACCUCAAGGAGCAGACCUUUUAUCAUGUGGCAUCAGACAGUAUAGAAUGCAGCAAUUUUUUAACUUCCUAUAGCCCCUUCAGCUACUACACUGCAUGUUGCAGGACCAUAAGCAGGGGUGUGGCAGGCUUCAUCAACUCUGAACAAGGUGUCUUUGAAGCCCCUACCGUUGCAUUUUCUUCCCUUGAGAAGAAAUGUGAGGUUGAUGCCCCAAGCUCCGUUCCUCACAUUGAGGAGAACAGGUAUCUCUUUCCAGAAGUGGACAUGACUGGCACAGACUUCACAGGCCUGAGCUGCAGAACCAACAAGACUCUCAACAUCUACCUUUUGGAUUCAAAUUUGUUUUGGUUAUAUGCAGAGAGACUGGGUGCUCCGAGCUCCACUCAGGUGAAAGAAUUUGCGGCAAUUGUUGACGUGAAAGAAGAGUCUCACUACAUCUUGGAUCCAAAGCAAUCACUGAUGAAGCUCACCCUAGGUACUGUAGGCAGUUUAUUUCCCCAAGCAUUGUACGUUUUGCUUGACUUCAUAUGGGUAAAUUUUAUUGAUGGCUCUCAUUACAUUUAGUUGUGGGGUGAUGUCAGCUUCGUAGCUCAUCACCAUCGGUCAUAAUUUUCAAAGAAGCAAAUUUUGUCUAUUAAAUGGAACAGAAACUUCCUCACUCUAAAUUUUGGAUAAGUUUGUCAUUUAGCCCAUGGUGGGGGUAAGAGUCCCAUUUUCUAAAUUGGCGAUUUCUGUCACAUGUCUAAGGUAGAACCAGCUGCAGGCAGUGGGGACUUGGGGACUAGAACAGGCAGGGAGGUGGAGAGCUAUUCCAGUGGGAUGUCCUAGGGGCUGAUGAAAGUGAGCCUUGACAGCAGCUUUGUUCUAAAGGAGCUUAAAGAGAAAGCAGUGGCCGGGCGUGGUGGCUCACGCCUGUAAUCCCAGCACUUUGGGAGGCCGAGGCGGGUGGAUCACGAGGUCAGGAGAUCGAGACUAUCCUGGCUAACGUGGUGAAACCCCGUCUCUACUAAAAAUAC